rnacentral:rRNA from 1 species
AGUGGGGAAUUUUGCGCAAUGGGGGAAACCCUGACGCAGCAACGCCGCGUGGAGGAUGAAGUCCUUCGGGACGUAAACUCCUUUCGAUCGGGACGAUUAUGACGGUACCGGAAGAAGAAGCCCCGGCUAACUUCGUGCCAGCAGCCGCGGUAAUACGAGGGGGGCGAGCGUUGUUCGGAAUUAUUGGGCGUAAAGGGUGCGUAGGCGGUUUGGUAAGUCUUAUGUGAAAUCUAUGGGCUCAACUCAUAGACUGCAUGAGAAACUGCCGGGCUUGAGUAUGGGAGAGGUGAGUGGAAUUCCUGGU